UCGAAUUUUAUAAACUCGAGUCUUGAAAGGGGUAAAACCUUUUCGGGGCUCGUUUUCAUAAAACAACCAACCCCUUUUGUGAACCAUCGCGGGAGUCAGUAGGGGGGUGUGCUUUGUUGUGUACCCCUUGAAAGCUCGCGACAACCCCUACAUACCCCAGUAUUAAGUCUCAGAAUGUUACCUUUGCGGUAGAACGCAAUAAAAAACAAUA
rnacentral:misc_RNA from 1 species